AAGGAGCUCCUCUGGAUCAGUGUCUUCUCUGUAAGCUUGCGCAUGUCUCAUCUCCUCUUCAUUCUCAUCAUCUGAUGACAGAGGAUCAGGGAUUUUAUCAUCAUCCCAUGCAUCAUCAUCGCCUUCGCCUUCAUCAACCUCACAGUCAUCAUUUUUUGCUUUAUCACCAAAAUAAAGACUGAAAUCUGUACAACCAACUUCCUCAAUGCCAGCAAUACCGUU
rnacentral:lncRNA from 1 species